rnacentral:rRNA from 1 species
UACGGAGGGGGCUAGCGUUGUUCGGAAUUACUGGGCGUAAAGCGCGCGUAGGCGGACCUGCAAGUCGGGGGUGAAAGCCCGAGGCUCAACCUCGGAACUGCCUUCGAUACUGCGGGUCUCGAGUCCGGGAGAGGUGAGUGGAAUUCCUAGUGUUGAGGUGAAAUUCGUAGAUAUUAGGAAGAACACCAGUGGCGAAGGCGGCUCACUGGCCCGGUACUGACGCUGAGGCGCGAAAGCGUGGGGAGCAAACAGG